GGUAGAUGAGACCUUAUCCCGUUGUGACGGGAUACUGUUGUGUAGAUUUUCUCUAUCUUUAUUGUUAUUAGAUGAUAAAACAUGAAUAAUAUUUUACGUGUGACUAAUUUAUUUUAAUUUUUUCAUAAGCUUUUCAAAGACGGACGGUCAAAAGUUCGACACGGAUUUUCACGGUUGCACUUAUU
rfam:Oryza nivara chromosome 12, whole genome shotgun sequence.